UUUGAUAUCUCUUUAUUGGGGAUUACGUUUCGGCCGUAAUUGUGGGAAGUUUUCUCUGUCAAAG
rnacentral:tRNA from 1 species